rfam:Natronomonas pharaonis DSM 2160 plasmid PL131 complete genome
CGGUGACUCCGAAUCCGACACAGGAUAGGAGUAACGGCUGUUUGGCUCAGCCUUCGGUACGCCUGUUCGACAAAUCCACGGGGCGAGUCGCCCCACAAGAACAGGUUGUCCCGUGAACCCUAAUAUCCCAACGCGGGAAUCCCACGGCUUCAGCCGUGUGG